AACGAAGACAAUAAUAUAGAAGAGAUGGAAAUUGAGGAUAGUGUAGAUGACGAAUCGGAAAAUGAGGAAAUUGAUGAAAGUGUAGAUGAGGAAUUGGAAAAUGAAGAUAGUGAAUAUGAUGAGGGUGUAGAUGAUGAAGAAUAGAGUUAAAAAAUAAUCAACAUAAAUUAUGAACAACCUUUAGAUUUAGACAUUGGGAAGUAUGAAAAUUAUACAUCACUUAUGGAAAUAUUGAAGAAAAGUCAGGAUAAUUUAACUAAAAUCAUUCACGAAGAAACCAAAGGGAUUUUACAAAUAGGAGAAGAAAUCUUAAAAAGCCUAGACUACAUGCCUUAUGCUGUUAUCUCACAUCUUGA